UCCCUACGGGAGGCAGCAGUGAGGAAUAUUGGUCAAUGGACGCAAGCCUGAACCAGCCAAGUCGCGUGAGGGAUGACGGUCCUAUGGAUUGUAAGCCUCUUUUGUCGGGGAGCAAGGCCCGCCACGUGUGGCGGGAAGGAGAGUACCCGAAGAAAAAGCAUCGGCUAACUCCGUGCCAGCAGCCGCGGUAAUACGGGGGAUGCGAGCGGUAUCCGGAUUUAUUGGGGUUAAAGGGGGCGUAGGCGGAAGGUUAAGUCAGCGGCC
rnacentral:rRNA from 1 species